rnacentral:lncRNA from 1 species
CCACCCACGUAUGCCGAUCUUGGCAAAUCUGCUAGGGAUGUCUUCACCAAGGGCUAUGGAUUGGCUUAAUAAAGCUUGAUUUGAAAACGAAAUCUGAGGAUGGAUCGGAGUUUACAAGCUCAGGCUCAGCCAACACUGAGACCACCAAAGUGACGGGCAGUCUGGAAACCAGGUACCGAUGGACUGACUAUGGCUCGAGGUCUACGGAGAAAUGGAACCCCGACAAUACACUAGGCACCGAGAUGAGCGUGGACGGUCAGCUUGCACGUGGCCUGAGGCUGACCUUGCAUUCAUCCUCGUCACCUAACACUGGGAAAAAAAAAAUGCUAAAAUCAAGACAGGGUGCAAGUGGGAGCACAUUAACCUGGGCUGUGACGUGGAUUUCCACACUGCUGGGCCUUCCAUCCGGGGUGCUCUAGUGCCGGGUUACAGGGCUGGCUGGCUGGGUACCAGAUGCGUUUUGAGACUGCAAAGUCCUUCCUGAGUGACCCAGAGCAACUUUGCAGUUGGCUACAGGACUGAUGAAUUCCAGCUUCACACUACUGUGAAUGACGGGACAGAGUUUGGCGGCUCCAUUUACCAGAAGGUGAACAAGAAGUUGGAGACCGCUGUCAAUCUCGUCUGGACAGCAGGAAACAGUAACACGCGCUUCGGAACAGCAGCCAAGUAUCAGACUGACCCUCAUGCCUGCUUCUCCACUAAAGUGAACAACUCCAGCCUGAUAGGUUUAGGAUACACUCAGACCCUGCAGCCAGGUAUCAAACUGACACUGUCAGCUCUCCUGGAUGGCAAGAACGUCAAGGCUGGUGGCCACAAGCUUGGUCUAGGACUGAAAUUUCAAGCAUGA